CUCUGCCGGCCCCGCCACCCCCGGGCCGGGCGCCGCCAUCCCCGGCCGUGACUCGGCACAAACGGGGGCGGAUGCGAGGCGCGGCCCGAGGGGCCUAGUGCGCACCCCGCAGCCCCGCUCACCUGGAAGUGCUCCUGGAAACGUAUGGGAAGGAGCUGGAUCUGGAAACUGCUGCUUCUGCUAGAAGGACAUCUCCAGAGUCUGGAGGGAUGAAGCUGGUGUGAAGGCGAGUGGAAGCUUCAAAAGUGCAUGCACCCCAGCAAUAAUGUGUCUGUUCACCUUCUCUAUCAGCUGCUUCUGUUGUUCCCUGACCAUUUCUGCCAUUUCCCAAUUUACAAAUAAAAAAUGACCAGCAGACAGGUGAAAACUUCAACUUCUGAGGCACAGCCCUGUGAGAUUCCAAUGAUGAAUAUCUUGGCCCAAGGACAUGAAAAAGGAAAGGAUCCCAUCCUCAAAAGCAUCAGACCUAACAAACUAAUUCCUGGUAGAGUACCAAGCAACUUUGUUCAGCAUGGAAAACCCAGCUGGUCAAGUCCCACAGCUGCUUGACCACCGCGGCACCCAACCACAUCUCCUUCCUGAGCUGGAAGUGCCUGUUAGUGACACCACACUGCAGCAACCCUUGAAAGUGGCCUGCAAAGUGGCAGAUGGCGUACACAUUUUGCAAUGAAAUAUGCCAAAUUUAAACAGCCUUGCAUUGGGGGGGGGCGGGAGGGAAAAUCUUAAUACAUAUACUUUGAAGAUCUCCAGCAUCUUUCAAUGAUACUCUCAUCUUCAAAACAAGAAUCAGAAACUCCUCUUGUACAAUAAGCACUUUUAUUGAGUGAGUGUCUCAGCAUUCCACACACGUCCUAUUCAACACGAUACAUUGCUGAACUACAAUCUAAACUGGUCUUUAAUUAAAACAGAAAAAAAGAGAGACUUU